rnacentral:rRNA from 1 species
UACGAAGGGGGCUAGCGUUGUUCGGAAUUACUGGGCGUAAAGCGCACGUAGGCGGAUACUUAAGUUAGGGGUGAAAUCCCAGGGCUCAACCCUGGAACUGCCUUUAAUACUGGGUAUCUUGAGUUCGAGAGAGGUGAGUGGAAUUCCGAGUGUAGAGGUGAAAUUCGUAGAUAUUCGGAGGAACACCAGUGGCGAAGGCGGCUCACUGGCUCGAUACUGACGCUGAAGCACGAAAGCGUGGGGAGCAAACAGG